AAUCGAUUACUUAUGAAAUACCAUUAACUCUAUGUGUGUUAUCAAUAUCUCUACGUGUGAUUCGUUGGUACAUAAACUUUAGUCAUGCUUUAUUAAUUAAUUUACAACUUUUCUUU